rnacentral:rRNA from 1 species
GAUGAACGCUGGCGGCGUGCCUAAUACAUGCAAGUCGAGCGAACGGACGAGAAGCUUGCUUCUCUGAUGUUAGCGGCGGACGGGUGAGUAACACGUGGAUAACCUACCUAUAAGACUGGGAUAAUUUCGGGAAACCGGAGCUAAUACCGGAUGAUAUUUUGAACCGCAUGGUUCAAAAGUGAAAGACGGUCUUGCUGUCACUUAUAGAUGGAUCCGCGCUGCAUUAGCUAGUUGGUAAGGUAACGGCUUACCAAGGCAACGAUGCAUAGCCGACCUGAGAAGGUGAUCGGCCACACUGGAACUGAGACACGGUCCAGACUCCUACGGGAGGCAGCAGUAGGGAAUCUUCCGCAAUGGGCGAAAGCCUGACGGAGCAACGCCGCGUGAGUGAUGAAGGUCUUCGGAUCGUAAAACUCUGUUAUUAGGGAAGAACAUAUGUGUAAGUAACUGUGCACAUCUUGACGGUACCUAAUCAGAAAGCCACGGCUAACUACGUG